UAAGAAGUCUCGCUCGGGAACAGCACCGACUGAGUCAGGACGCUGCUGCUGCUCGCUCGGGGCCUGGGACUUAAGACUUCGAAGUUCGAACUCUUUUUCACUGGGUCGAGGUCGCUGAUUAGUUUUUAGUCGAACUGUGCGAGGGGACGCGACGCGUUGUGAUCUGUGCGAGUGCUCCCUAACCUCAAACUCGGCGUGGUGCGUAGUGAUGUGUUGUGCCCUGUGAGUGUCAGGAUACGAUAGUUUUGCCGAGCAUGCACCCAUGCUCAUAGUUGAUGAAAAUCCAGGAGAACCUAAUUGAACUAGAGUCGCUAACCGAAACUACCAUGCUGACUCACUACCCUCCGCCGCAGUCCGAUUUCGGCUAUCCUCAACAGGGGCUCCCAUCCAUAGACAAUGUUGAGGCACAAUCGUGGUUCUCAAACUUCUUACAGCCUUCGCCCGAAGGAGACGACUCGAUGCUUAUGCUGCGGUCCGAUGAUCAACAGUCGAUACAUAUUCCAGACUGGCUUUCCGGCCCUGUCUCCGAUAGUGAUCAGAACGUUUCCGGUAAUUUUUUUUUAUCUCUCAUCUAUUGAUUCAUUCAUCGGCCUAUAUUCCACUCGAUCAA
rnacentral:lncRNA from 1 species